GGGGCCGACUGGAUUUGACAGUAGGUGAUAGCUGUGUGCUUGCAUGCCGGGUGGUAAGUGUACAUCCGUAAUCAAUGCGCUUAAAACAUAAUUGGCGAAAAUAACUACGCCAUGGCUGCCUAAUCUUUACCUGAUUCAGGAAAGAUAAACAGGCUUAAUCGGUCGAGCUGCUAAUAAAACAGUUCCCGGGCCACAUCUCACCGACCUUCGUCUUUCGAGGUUGGAACUUGAGGUGUCGAAUCAGAAAGACUAGUCUGAAGUUUGCUAUCGGCUUUGGGCGAAUUUUAACAGAUAGCUUUGGUGUAAAGUAGGCGGUUGCCAGCCGGCUUUGCAUCGAGAUUAAACAGGCAACUAAGCAUGUAGAGGGUACAUGGAGUCCCUAUCUGGACGAGGGUUCGACUCCCUCCGGCUCCACUA
rnacentral:tmRNA from 1 species